UGUCCUAACAGAUUACCAAUAAAGAGGAACUUUAGGUGAAACCCUUUGGCUAAUGUAAUAAUCACCAUAUGAUGUCUUGCUUAACUCUUAACAACUUUAUGCUCUCCAAAAGAUUAGGUUAUAAUGGCCUGAACUAAUAAAUAGGAUGAGCUACAGUCAUCCCUAAUUUAGCUUUAAAUCAUUUACUCAAAAAGACUUUAGACUUGACAUAAAGUAAAUCCAUCAAAUAAGUUAGAAAAUGGUUGGUAAAGAUUGGUUGUGUUUGUAUUUGCCCUUUCCUCCUUAUCAUGCUGCUGAUGGGAGCAGCUAAGUAACCAUUCACCGAUGGAUGCCUGGAACUAGACUGAGAGGUUGCAGAGCAAGAGGGAAGAACGAAAGCAGCUGAUAAAGCUGCUGGUAUUGAUUUGCCUAGAUGAUAAAUCUCUGCUAGAAAACAGAGUUUCUCCUCUGCAUGAUUUUUUAAAGGACAGAGCGCAUCAUGAUCUUAUUCUAGAUCUCUGUAUUUUUUCCCUUUACUUCUAUGCAUCUGUUCUUUAUUUUUUAUUUUGAUUGAUUUAUUUGCUUGAAACAAAGCGCAUCAUUGUUAACGAAUCCCACUCAUGCUGCAUAAAGUCACCAGCAGAUAUUCUUUUACUUUCU